rnacentral:lncRNA from 1 species
CAGAUCCAUAACUAUCAUGGAUUUUUGUAAGAGCAGAUAUAGUUGGCAUCAUGUAACCAGAUGUCAAAGUUGAAGGUUUCUUCUCUUUGCGAUAUUUCAUAAUCCUAUCAAUCUUUGAUCGAGGCAUAUAUACCUUCAUUGCUUGGUUCAUCAUUUUACAAAAAUCCAAUCGAUCUUCAUCAUUCUUUCUGGAGUGACGAUACCUAUUGGAGCCAGUUCUAUCAUCUUUACAGUAGGAUUUCUAAUAGAGUAUUCUCCAUCUCCAGAAUUUGUAUAUAAAUCAUAGACAGAUUCUGUAGAAGGAUUUUUUAUCGAAUUAAUUACAAGGUUUAUUUUUACUAAAGAAAUAGGCUGAAGCAGUCGUUACUGUUUCAUCGGAUCUCGCUUUCCUCAAUCCAUCUUCGCUUCUAUUAUUAUCCUAUAAAAAAUAGAGAAAAGACGCUAAUAUAUGGUACGUAUUUAAUUAUUAAUAUUUCGUAAUUUAUUUUUGUUUAUUAAUAAUUAAUUUAUUUGUUGUUUGUAAUAAUCAAACUAUGCAACGUACAAUAAAGAACAAUUUGAUAGAUGUCAAGUUGUAGAUAAAAACGACUCAAAGGAAAACAACGAUAUUUCGACUCAAGAAUCAACCUCCUACAAUCGCAAAAAGCGGUCUUCUCGAGAUGAGUUUAGAGGAAGAUCAAUCUCAAUUGAUACCAUGUUAGAGAAUGAAUGGCUAAAGUGAUUAUCAAUGAAUCCAAUAUCUUCACUAAGAAAGCAUAAUCAUUACAAAGUUGUUUAAUCCUUAUAUAGGAUGAAAUUAUUACAAGAAAAUAUUACAAAGUUGACGACCUAUGUAUUAUGUGUCGUCUAACAAUAUCAUUAAUCUAUCAAUUCAAAAACAAUUCAAAUAAAAAAUCAGGCAAAACUUGGCCAUAUCACAUUGGAUC